CGGCGCAAGGGAGAGUAACGCGUAGAUACCUACCCCCAGGUUCGGUAUAGCGGCACCUGCUUGCAGGUUUCCGAAAGGGCCGGUAAUACCGGAUAAUGUCUCCGGACCAAAGAUUUAUCGCCCGGGGAUGGGUCUGCGCCCUACUAGCUUGUUGGUGGGGUAAAAGCCUACCAAGGCCAAGAUGGGUACCGGGUGUGAGAGCAUGACCCGGCUCACUGGGACUGAGACACUGCCCAGACACCUACGGGUGGCUGCAGUCGAGAAUCUUCCGCAAUGGGCGAAAGCCUGACGGAGCGACGCCGCGUGCGGGAUGAAGGCCUUCGGGUUGUAAACCGCUGUCAGUGGGGAGGAAAUCACUUCGGUGUUGACCGAUCCGCAGAGGAAGCGCAGGCUAAGUUCGUGCCAGCAGCCGCGGUAACACGAACUGCGCGAACGUUAUUCGGAAUCACUGGGCUUAAAGAGUUCGUAGGCGGCCAAGUCAGUCGGGUGUGAAAUCCCUCGGCUCAACCGAGGAACUGCGCCCGAUACUGCUUGGCUUGAGGAAGUCAGAGGUGAGCGGAACUGAUGGUGGAGCGGUGAAAUGCGUUGAUAUCAUCAGGAACACCGGUGGCGAAAGCGGCUCACUGGGGCUUUUCUGACGCUGAGGAACGAAAGCUAGGGGAGCGAACGGGAUUAGAUACCCCGGUAGUCCUAGCUGUAAACGAUGAGCACUGGG
rnacentral:rRNA from 1 species